GAACGCUGGCGGCGUGCCUAAUACAUGCAAGUCGAGCGAACAGAUAAGGAGCUUGCUCCUUUGACGUUAGCGGCGGACGGGUGAGUAACACGUGGGUAACCUACCUAUAAGACUGGGAUAACUUCGGGAAACCGGAGCUAAUACCGGAUAACAUUUGGAACCGCAUGGUUCUAAAGUGAAAGAUGGUUUUGCUAUCACUUAUAGAUGGACCCGCGCCGUAUUAGCUAGUUGGUAAGGUAACGGCUUACCAAGGCGACGAUACGUAGCCGACCUGAGAGGGUGAUCGGCCACACUGGAACUGAGACACGGUCCAGACUCCUACGGGAGGCAGCAGUAGGGAAUCUUCCGCAAUAGGCGAAAGCCUGACGGAGCAACGCCGCGUGAGUGAUGAAGGGUUUCGGCUCGUAAAACUCUGUUAUUAGGGAAGAACAAAUGUGUAAGUAACUGUGCACGUCUUGACGGUACCUAAUCAGAAAGCCACGGCUAACUACGUG
rnacentral:rRNA from 1 species